AUGGUUAAGUUAGAAAGGGCGCACGGUGAAUGCCUUGGCACUAGGAGCCGAUGAAGGACGGGACUAACACCGAUAUGCUUCGGGGAGCUGUAAGUGAGCUUUGAUCCGGAGAUUUCCGAAUGGGGAAACCCACUGUUCGUAAUGGAACAGUAUCUUUAUCUGAAUACAUAGGAUAUUGAAGGCAGACCCGGGGAACUGAAACAUCUAAGUACCCGGAGGAAGAGAAAGCAAAUGCGAUUUCCUGAGUAGCGGCGAGCGAAACGGAAUUAGCCCAAACCAAGAGGCUUGCCUCUUGGGGUUGUAGGACACUCUAUACGGAGUUACAAAGGAACGAAGUAAAUGAAGCGACCUGGAAAGGUCCGUCGAAGAAGGUAACAACCCUGUAGUUGAAACUUCGUUCCCUCUUGAGUGGAUCCUGAGUACGGCGGAACACGUGAAAUUCCGUCGGAAGCUGGGAGGACCAUCUCCCAAGGCUAAAUACUACCUAGUGACCGAUAGUGAACCAGUACCGUGAGGGAAAGGUGAAAAGCACCCCGGAAGGGGAGUGAAAGAGAUCCUGAAACCGUGUGCCUACAAGUAGUCAGAGCCCGUUAACGGGUGAUGGCGUGCCUUUUGUAGAAUGAACCGGCGAGUUACGAUCCCAUGCAAGGUUAAGCUGAUAAGGCGGAGCCGUAGCGAAAGCGAGUCUGAAUAGGGCGUUUAGUAUGUGGUUGUAGACCCGAAACCAGGUGAUCUACCCAUGUCCAGGGUGAAGUUCAGGUAACACUGAAUGGAGGCCCGAACCCACGCACGUUGAAAAGUGCGGGGAUGAGGUGUGGGUAGCGGAGAAAUUCCAAUCGAACCUGGAGAUAGCUGGUUCUCUCCGAAAUAGCUUUAGGGCUAGCCUCAUGUUGUGAGAGUCUUGGAGGUAGAGCACUGAUUGGACUAGGGGCCCCCAACGGGUUACCGAAUUCAGUCAAACUCCGAAUGCCAAAGACUUAUCCAUGGGAGUCAGACUGCGAGUGAUAAGAUCCGUAGUCAAAAGGGAAACAGCCCAGACCACCAGCUAAGGUCCCCAAGUAUACGUUAAGUGGAAAAGGAUGUGGAGUUGCUUAGACAACCAGGAUGUUGGCUUAGAAGCAGCCACCAUUUAAAGAGUGCGUAAUAGCUCACUGGUCGAGUGACUCUGCGCCGAAAAUGUACCGGGGCUAAACGUAUCACCGAAGCUGUGGAUUGACAUCUUUGAUGUCAGUGGUAGGAGAGCGUUCUAAGUGCUGUGAAGUCAGACCGUAAGGACUGGUGGAGCGCUUAGAAGUGAGAAUGCCGGUAUGAGUAGCGAAAGACAAGUGAGAAUCUUGUCCACCGAAUGCCUAAGGUUUCCUGAGGAAGGCUCGUCCGCUCAGGGUUAGUCGGGACCUAAGCCGAGGCUGAAAAGCGUAGGCGAUGGCCAACAGGUUGAUAUUCCUGUACCACCUCCCCGCCGUUUGAGUAAUGGGGGGACGCAGUAGGAUAGGGUAAGCGCGCUGCUGGAUAUGCGCGUUCAAGCAGUUAGGCUGAUGAGUAGGCAAAUCCGCUCAUCAUAAAGGCUGAGCUGUGAUGACGAGGGAAUUAUAGUACCGAAGUUCCUGAUUCCACACUGCCAAGAAAAGCCUCUAGCGAGGCGGGAGGUGCCCGUACCGCAAACCGACACAGGUAGGCGAGGAGAGAAUCCUAAGGUGAUCGAGAGAACUCUCGUUAAGGAACUCGGCAAAAUGACCCCGUAACUUCGGGAGAAGGGGUGCUCUGGUAGGGUGUAUAGCCCGAGAGAGCCGCAGUGAAUAGGCCCAGGCGACUGUUUAGCAAAAACACAGGUCUCUGCGAAGCCGCAAGGCGAAGUAUAGGGGCUGACGCCUGCCCGGUGCUGGAAGGUUAAGAGGAGGGGUUAUCCUUUGGGAGAAGCUCUGAAUCGAAGCCCCAGUAAACGGCGGCCGUAACUAUAACGGUCCUAAGGUAGCGAAAUUCCUUGUCGGGUAAGUUCCGACCCGCACGAAAGGCGUAACGAUCUGGGCACUGUCUCAACGAGAGACUCGGUGAAAUUAUAGUACCUGUGAAGAUGCAGGUUACCCGCGACAGGACGGAAAGACCCCGUGGAGCUUUACUGUAGCCUGAUAUUGAAUUUUGGUACAGCUUGUACAGGAUAGGUAGGAGCCUGAGAAGCCGGAGCGCUAGCUUCGGUGGAGGCGUCGGUGGGAUACUACCCUGGCUGUAUUGAAAUUCUAACCCGCGGCCCUGAUCGGGCCGGGAGACAGUGUCAGGUGGGCAGUUUGACUGGGGCGGUCGCCUCCUAAAAUGUAACGGAGGCGCCCAAAGGUUCCCUCAGAAUGGUUGGAAAUCAUUCGUAGAGUGUAAAGGCACAAGGGAGCUUGACUGCGAGACCUACAAGUCGAGCAGGGACGAAAGUCGGGCUUAGUGAUCCGGUGGUUCCGCAUGGAAGGGCCAUCGCUCAACGGAUAAAAGCUACCCCGGGGAUAACAGGCUUAUCUCCCCCAAGAGUCCACAUCGACGGGGAGGUUUGGCACCUCGAUGUCGGCUCAUCGCAUCCUGGGGCUGUAGUCGGUCCCAAGGGUUGGGCUGUUCGCCCAUUAAAGCGGUACGCGAGCUGGGUUCAGAACGUCGUGAGACAGUUCGGUCCCUAUCCGUCGUGGGCGUAGGAAAUUUGAGAGGAGCUGUCCUUAGUACGAGAGGACCGGGAUGGACACACCGCUGGUGUACCAGUUGUCUUGCCAAAGGCAUCGCUGGGUAGCUAUGUGUGGACGGGAUAAGUGCUGAAAGCAUCUAAGCAUGAAGCCCCCCUCAAGAUGAGAUUUCCCAUAGCGCAAGCUAGUAAGAUCCCUGAAAGAUGAUCAGGUUGAUAGGUCAGAGGUGGAAGCGUGGCGACAUGUGUAGCUGACUGAUACUAAUCGAUCGAGGACUUAACCAAAUUUUA
rnacentral:rRNA from 1 species